ACUCCUACGGGAGGCAGCAGUGGGGAAUAUUGGGCAAUGGGGGAAACCCUGACCCAGCAACGCCGCGUGAAGGAUGAAGGCUUUCGGGUUGUAAACUUCUUUGAUCAGGGACGAAAAAAAUGACGGUACCUGAAGAACAAGCCACGGCUAACUACGUGCCAGCAGCCGCGGUAAUACGUAGGUGGCAAGCGUUAUCCGGAUUUACUGGGUGUAAAGGGCGUGUAGGCGGGUCUGCAAGUCGGAUGUGAAAUUCCCAGGCUUAACUUGGGCGGGUCAUCCGAAACUGCGGAUCUUGAGUACUGGAGAGGAUAGUGGAAUUCCUAGUGUAGCGGUAAAAUGCGUAGAUAUUAGGAGGAACACCAGUGGCGAAGGCGGCUAUCUGGACAGUAACUGACGCUGAGGCGCGAAAGCGUGGGGAGCAAACAGGAUUAGAUACCCCGGUAGUCCACGCCGUAAACGAUGAAUACUAGGUGUAGGGGGUAUCGACUCCCCCUGUGCCGGAGUUAACACAAUAAGUAUUCCACCUGGGGAGUACGGCCGCAAGGUUGAAACUCAAAGGAAUUGACGG
rnacentral:rRNA from 1 species